CUGGUCGCCAGCCAAUCGCAGUAUCUUUGUUAUCCCUUUUCUUUUGUUGUCAUGACAACAACCAAAAUAAUUCUGUCAAUUUGGACUGGAUUUGGAGAGGGGGAGGACAUAUUUCUAAUUCGAAGGGAUCGAUCAAUUAUACUUCAUAGUUGCAUACAUUAACGUGUAUUAAGCAUGUGUCAUGUACUGUCCUGCAGUUCGGAUAUUGGAGCCUGGUGGGUGCUUCUCCGUCUUCUCUCUCUCUCGCUCUCUCUCUCUCUCCCCUCCCCUCCCCUCUUUGUUUGCAGCACCUGUCUUCAAUCAGCCUCAUCACCACCAGUGCAUAUAAGCCUGCCUGUUCACGAAGAUCCUCGCCAAAGUAUUGCAGACUCUCCUAGCGGUACCACGGCCCACGGCCCACCUUACUCAAAGUACUUUGGCCAAUCAUGGACCCGGCAACCCCAGAGGCAAUCAUGAACGCACUCACCCUCCAAGGCACCCACAUAGGGAAACAAGAACAGACUCUCGAAGAACUCAUGGAAUCCCUACACUCCCUCACACAACAAGUGUCACUCCUUCCCUUGAAGAUGCAAUCCAAACUUCCUACUGUUUUCGAUCACCCCGUUCAGGGCAAAGAAGCCACCCGUCGUUUCCUCACACUCACUCAGUCCGUAGCAGAGUAUUCCAUCGACUUCCGUAUUGUAUUCGGGCAUCGGGGAGCGAUGAUGGUCCGCGAGCUGUUUGUUGCGUGCGGCGUACCAGGUCAAUGCCGCACGGACAUCAUUCCAUACAGCCUGGAUCCGCUGGAUAUGAUCUUUGACUGCGGAGACUGCCACUGCCCGCUCCUUCUCCUUGAACAAUGGCGGUUGGUAACCAUAGCAAGCCAUAAAUGGGGACAUACUGGUAGCGGAACUGGUGAGGGAGUUGUGGGCGUACUAAAUCCAUGGGAGGAAUGAGCUCAAGGAGGAGGGGUUCCGUGCGGCAACACAACGGAGGGCUGAUUCCAGGGAUUGGUUUGCCCGGUCCGUCUGGCCGUAGGUCUGCGGAUGAUAUCCCGAUGACAAGCUGGCUGCUGCGCCCACCGCUUUACAGAAUUCCUUCCACACCAGGGAUGAGAACUGAGGACCUCUGUCAGAGACAAUAUCGAUGGGAAUACCAUGGAGUCUAAAGACAUGCUGGACAAGAAGGUCAGUAGUUUCAAAGGCGGAUGGUAGCUUGGGGAGAGGUAUGUAAUGGACAGAUAUGGAAAAACGAUCGACAAUGGUGAGAAUGACAGAGUUACCUUCAGAAGGAGGUAGACCGGUAACAAAGUCCAGAGCAAUAUGGGACCAAGGGCGGCUAGGGAUAGGGAAUGGACGCAGCAGCCCAGACUUCCCUCGGGCACAGACGGAGCAGGCUUGUACGAACUCCGAGGUGUCUUGAACAAGGCUGGGCCACCAGAAAUGCUGCCGGAUGAACUGAAUGGUGCGGGUGAUGCCAGGAUGACAGCCCGGACAAUCCAAUUCAUGCAACACUUCUGGUGGCCCAGGCUGGCAAAAGACACCUGUGAGUUUGUCCUCGCCUGCUCCAUCUGUGCCCGAGGUAAAGCCUCCCAUCAACCCCCAGCUGGCCUGUUGCGUCCUUUACCCAUACUGAGCUGCCCCUGGUCCCACAUUUCCAUGGACUUCGUCACCGGCCUACCCUCCUCUGAAGACUUCAUGGCAGUCAAUGGACAUAGUCUCAGACCGUGGUCCACAGUUCUCCUCCCAAGCCUGGAAGGAGAUCUGCAAGGCGGUGGAUCCAGCAGCCAGUCUGUCUUCUGGCUACUAUCCCCAAUCCAAUGGGCAGAAGGAGCGGGCAAACCAAAGCCUGGAAUCUGCUCUUCGCUGCGUUGCCGGUCGCAAUCCCGCCUCCUGAAGCAACGCCCUCACCAGCUCCGCCACAGGUAUGUCUCCAUUUAUGGCCUGUUAUGAUUUCCAACCUCCUUUGCUCAAGGAACAGGAGCAUACGGUGUCGGUUCCCGCGGUGAGGGAGCACCUUUGACGUGUCCAGUCCAUAUGGAAGGACGUCAGGGCAGCCUUAACCCAGUCCGCUGAGAGAAAUAAACGGCUCCCAGACCUUUGUCACUCCCCUACGCCUGAGUACAAGACUUUCUCAUCUCAAGAAGGUCCUCAUCUGUCAGUGGGUCCGAGUGGCAAUCGAUAAGGGCGCUGAUGUCUUCUUCCGUCAUGUCGACAAAUCCUUCAUCCCUUAUAAUGAGAGCCAGUCUCACCGCCUUCUCCACCGCUGAGUGAUGAACUUCGUCAGGAGUGAAGCCUGGAUAGUCGUACGCCACGUUCGGCCAUAAUAUCUUCCAGCUAGAAUUUAUGAUCUCACUUUUCAUGUCCUUUAAUGCUUGCUGGAUAUUAGACAAACAUGAGGCAAUGUCAUAACUAUUCCAGUAUCCUUUCAAGGUGAAUUCUUCAUUGUCGUCGUCAACUGCCGAGAUGAGGCCCUCCAUCGUGGAGCGAGUGUAGAGUGCCUUAAAGGCACGAAUGACACCUUGAUCCAUCGGCUGAAUUAGAGAUGUGGUGUUCGGGGGAAGAAACUCUAUCUGCACCCUGUCAUAUUGCAGGUCCGUUGCAUGGCUUCCUGCACAGUCCAUCAGGAGAAGAACCUUAAAGGGGAGGCUCCCAGUUUACUUGGGAUGCGAUUUUAAGGUCCUGUUACUUACACAUAAAAUAUUAAAUGGGUUAGAACCCUCUUAUCUUGCUGACUUAGUUGUACCAUAUGUUCCAUCCCGAAAAACGCCCAUCUUUUGGUGACUUUCUGAGCCAGAAAGAAGUCCGCAGGCUCUCGAGCAUUUUCUAUUUGGGCUCCAGUACUCUGGAAUGCCCUACCCAUGGUUAUUAUAGCUGCUACCUCAGUAGAAAUGAUUAAAUACCAAUUUAAGACUUAUUUCUACUCUUUGGCAUUUAGUUGAAGUACAUGUAUGCCUGUUUUACUGCCACUUGUCCAGUCCACAGACCCCCCUUGUCUCCUGCUCGGAGAGAGGGCUACAUGACUUUGACCGAAUCCGAGGCUGUUGCUGUUUGGGUUCGGCACGGACCAAUUAGGGUAAGCUCUGAGGUGCACCACUUUCCCCUGAGUCGUUGCCUUGGAGGAUUCUGCUCUGACUCACCGACUGAGGUUCUGAGGCAGAACGGCGCAGUGCCAUUUCUCUAUAAAUUGACUCUUAUGCCAUCCUAAUGAACAUUGCAAAGCAUCUUGCCAUUGUAAUGAACAUUGUACAGCACCAGACUAUGUGAUAAAUGUUGUCCACUUGACAUCCAUUGCAUCCUGGUCAUCCUUGAAAGGGGACCGGCGGUCCGUUUUUUUUUUUUUUCCCACAUGGGUUUUGAGUUUUUCAUUGCCUGAUUGAGGGUUUAGAUUAGGGGAUGUCAUCAAUCAUUGCCAACUGUGGGCCUGUGAAGCCCUUUGAGACUCUUUUGUGAUUAAGGGCUAUACAAAUACUGUAGACUUGACGUGGUGCACUGAAAAAUAACCAUCAUAUGAAUCGUCAUUGGAAGAUUGUGUAACCUUUGAUGUCACCUCAAAUGAAACUGAUGAGAAAGAUUUUAGGCCUCGUAUCGGCAUAAGGUAAGGUGAACAGCCUCUACUUCCAUAUUUAGUGUUCUUAUUGUUUGUCGUUUCGAUGUGCUCUGAACAGCAAACUUCAUUUGGAUGCCCUUCCAACAAUCAGCAUGGAGGAUACAGUGCAUGAUAUUCCAAAAUACAUGACAGAACCAACAGCAACAGAGACACAAACAUUCCCUGGUGCCGCAAAUGUAACUCUUGAUGAUGACAUAGUGGGAAUACCUGAAUCAAUUGUAUACUGUGUCAUUAAAGUCUGAUGCAGCUUGUCCAGUAUCUUCAGCUACCAGUCAACAUUUGUCAGCUAAGGACCCCCAAAAAAUGGACAGUAUGCCAAGCCCAUGGACUAUUCGAGAUCCAUUUCAGGGAAAUCGCUUGUGUCGUUCAUUGCUGCGUCAGAACCUGUUUUGAAAUUUUUGUGUUUGUACUGUAAUUUUGCAAUUUUCUUUUUCAACUUUUUUUUGUUACAGAUGUCUCCUCGAGGCCAUACUGUUUGUGCGUCCCAGCCCAUGAAAUUCAAAAUCCUGGCAGGGGACUACAUCUCACCUCCCAUCUUGAGCCUUGUCUUAUUCCAAGUAUAAAAAAACCUACAUCAGGAAGUCCGGCAGUGGACCAGUCACACUUUGAAGG